GUGACCAUAACGUUUCCAACCUGCGUUAAUACGAACUUUAAUCCUAGCUUUAACUUGAUUAACCCUCUCCUCCCACUCUGAAAAACAUCAAUCGACCUCAUCGUCUCCCAAAGUAAUCGACUUAGCUCCGAGUAUAAAUCUUCCAACCUUCAAGCCAUGAAUAUCACAACGUCAACCACUCCCAGAAUAUUCAUCUCUGUUCCUGCUUGCCGAUUUGAACCACAACCGAGUCCCACCGUCUGCUUGGAUUCUGGUAGGUGAGGAAUGUGAAAGGCGGCGAGCUAAUGCAUGUGGACAUGCUCCUCCUUGAGGAGAAGGAUGCACUUAUCAAGACGUUUUCAGUGAAGCUUCAGUUUACAUGUUAAGCUGUUUCGACGUGACUUCAGCUGUUUUGAUAGCUCAAGUUCCUCCAAGACACAAGAGAAAUGCACUGCUACUUCGAGUUCUGUUACAGCUUCUAGCAAAUCUAUGCUUCAAUGAGGAACUUUCCUGCGAUCACUUUACAAGGUAAGAAACAAACCUUUUCACAACUAUUUUCAAUGGAUUUUCCACAGUUGCUGUCUUUCUCUGCAGGUUGUGGUCUAUGUAUCAGAAACGAAUCCUCUAAUCAUAUACCUCAAGGACGUUGAGAAGCUUUCGAGUCAGAAAGAUUCUACAAGUUUUUCCCAAUUCUCUUUAAUAAGAUCUCUGGUCCUGUCUUGAUUCUUGGCUCAAGGGUAAAAGUACCUGAAGAUAAUUUCCAAUAAGUAGGUGAAGGCUUCUCGCUUGCUUUCCUUACAACAUCGAAAUCAGACCACCUUUGGAUAAAUCUCAACUCUUGAGCUGGAAUAAUCGCUUAGAAGAUGACAUGAAGAUAGUUCAGUUCAAAGACAACAAGAACCAAAGGAUCUCAUGAACCUCAAUAUCAUUGCAUCUUAGCAGGGAUGUAAGCGUGUGUUUUACGCCUUAGCUCUUGCAUGCCAUAAUAAAUACGAUGCUACAGGUCUGAGCCAAAAAUUGUGGUAGCCACCAGCAUAAUUCUGACACUAUUGAUCGCAUCAAGGAAUGUGUUAAGGAGAAAGAAGGAGUCCCUCCCGUUAAACAAAGGCAAGACAGCAAAAUACUACAACAUUGAGGGAGGCUCUGUUCUGCAUCUUGUCCUCUGAGUAGUAACUCAUAUUUUUUGGGUUUAGUGUUUACUGAGGCCUUGAGUGAAGCCCCCCCACUUUUGGCUCUACUUAUGUAAGAAUAAAGCAAACGAAUAUCACAAUGUACAUUAAACUGUAAAGCAUAUGGCUGUUUCUGCAAACCCAGCUCGGAGGUUGUUCUUUUUUUUCUUUUUUUUCAGUCAUCAAGGAUGUUAUUAAUAUUACAGGCACAAUCAAACUUAUUGGAGU